AACGAACGCUGGCGGCGUGCUUAACACAUGCAAGUCGAACGGCAAGGCCCUGAUUUUGUGGUGUUCUCGAGUGCCAAAGGCGUGAGUAACACGUGUAUAUCCUGGUCUAGACUUUCGUAUAACUUCAGGAAACGAGGGCUAAUACCAGAUCGCAGCUCCUCUUGCAUGGAGAGCGUUGGAUAGUCGCGGCGGGUGGGGAUGGACUCGCGGAUUAUGAGCUUGUUAGUGGGGUAGUGGCUUACCAACGCAUUGACGGGUAGCCGGCCUGAGAGGGUGAACGGCGACAAUGGGACUAAGAGACGGACCAGACGCCUACGGGAGGCAGCAGGGGGGAAUCUUGCACAAUGGGCGGAAGCCGGAUGCAGCAACGCCGCGGGCGGGAUGACGGCCUUCGGGGUAUAAACAGCUUUCGCCUGUGACGAAGCGUGAGUGACGGUAAUGGGUAAAGAAGCACCGGCUAACUACGUG
rnacentral:rRNA from 1 species